rnacentral:rRNA from 1 species
GACGAACGCUGGCGGCGUGCUUAACACAUGCAAGUCGAACGGAAAGGCCCUGCUUUUGUGGGGUGCUCGAGUGGCGAACGGGUGAGUAACACGUGAGUAACCUGCCCUUGACUUUGGGAUAACUUCAGGAAACUGGGGCGAAUACCGGAUAGGAGCUCCUGCUGCAUGGUGGGGGUUGGAAAGAUUCGGCGGUUGGGGAUGGACUCGCGGCUUAUCAGCUUGUUGGUGGGGUAGUGGCUUACCAAGGCUUUGACGGGUAGCCGGCCUGAGAGGGUGACCGGCGACAUUGGGACUGAGAUACGGCCCAGACUCCUACGGGAGGCAGCAGUGGGGAAUAUUGCACAAUGGGCGGAAGCCUGAUGCAGCAACGCCGCGUGCGGGAUGACGGCCUUCGGGUUGUAAACCGCUUUCGCCUGUGACGAAGCGUGAGUGACGGUAAUGGGUAAAGAAGCACCGGCUAACUACGUG